CCUACGGGCGGCUGCAGUGGGGAAUAUUGGACAAUGGGCGAAAGCCUGAUCCAGCCAUGCCGCGUGUGUGAAGAAGGCCUUCGGGUUGUAAAGCACUUUCAGUGGGGAAGAAAGCCUUGGGGCUAAUACCCUCGAGGAAGGACAUCACCCACAGAAGAAGCACCGGCUAACUCCGUGCCCGCAGCCGCGGUAAUACGGAGGGUGCGAGCGUUAAUCGGAAUUACUGGGCGUAAAGCGCGCGUAGGCGGUCUGAUAAGCCGGUUGUGAAAGCCCCGGGCUCAACCUGGGAACGGCAUCCGGAACUGUCAGGCUAGAGUGCAGGAGAGGAAGGUAGAAUUCCCGGUGUAGCGGUGAAAUGCGUAGAGAUCGGGAGGAAUACCAGUGGCGAAGGCGGCCUUCUGGACUGACACUGACGCUGAGGUGCGAAAGCGUGGGUAGCAAACAGGAUUAGAUACCCGGGUAGUC
rnacentral:rRNA from 1 species